rnacentral:misc_RNA from 1 species
UCCUGUGUUGCAUGCCUAACGUGACGGAAACUGGCCCCGAAGGAGUCCUAAUUUUCRCCUCUCACGAAUUCGUGGUGUUGGGUUGACGUGGAAGUGCUGCCCAUUCUCCUCGAUUUCUUCGCGCUUUCGCGUUGCAAUCGUGGCCCAUGGGUCGCUACUAGUUCYCUCGGAUGCAGAACCUUUGAUGGGUGCACAAUAUUUUACUGUUGUUUACCCCCAAAGCGUUCAUCGGUCGAUGCGUACGACAGCUGUGCCCGUCUUGGCCCCCUCUCCAACUAGUUUGGAUGGGGGCUCAUGCGGUGUCGGCGUCGUAAAGGAAUGCUACCUGGUUGAUCCUGCCAGUAGUCAUAUGCUUGUCUC